AUUGAACGCUGGCGGAAUGCUUUACACAUGCAAGCCGAACGGCAGCACGGACUUCGGUCUGGUGGCGAGUGGCGAACGGGUGAGUAACAUAUCGGAACGUAUCCAAUAAUGGGGGAUAACGAGUCGAAAGAUUCGCUAAUACCGCAUACGCCCUACGGGGGAAAGCUGGGGACCUUCGGGCCUGGCGUUAAUGGAGCGGCCGAUAUCUGAUUAGCUAGUUGGUGAGGUAAAGGCUCACCAAGGCGACGAUCAGUAGCUGGUCUGAGAGGACGACCAGCCACACUGGAACUGAGUCACGGUCCAGACUCCUACGGGAGGCAGCAGUGGGGAAUUUUGGACAAUGGGCGCAAGCCUGAUCCAGCCAUUCCGAGUGAGUGAAGAAGGCCUUCGGGUUGUAAAGCUCUUUCGCAAGGGAAGAAAACUUAGCCACUAACAUUGGUUGAGGUUGACGGUACCUUGAUAAGAAGCACCGGCUAACUACGUGCCAGCCGCCGCCGUAA
rnacentral:rRNA from 1 species